AAUAUGGCACAAUGGAGGGAACUCUGAUGCAGCAACGCCUUGAGCGUGAAGAAUGGAUUCGUAUUGUAAAACUCUGUCAUGGGGGAAGAAUAAAUGACGGUACCUAAUGAGGAAGGCCAGGCUAAUUACGUGUCAUCAGCCGCGGUAAUACGUAGGGGGCGAGCGUUGUCCGUAAUUACUGGGCGUAAAGGGUACGUAGGCGGCUAUAUAAGUCAGGUGUGAAAUACCAGUGCUUAACACUGGAAUUGCAUUUGAAACUGUGUAGCUUGAGUGCAGGAGAGGAGAGUGGAAUUCCUAGUGUAGCGGUGAAAUGCGUAGAUAUUAGGAGGAACACCAGUGGCGAAGGCGACUCUCUGGACUGCAACUGACGCUGAGGCACGAAAGCGUGGGGAGCGAACA
rnacentral:rRNA from 1 species